AAAAUUUCAACAUGCGGCCUACACAGCUAGCUCAUGUGGAGAAGAGAUAUGAGACUGAUUGCGAAUAAAUGUACACUUAGUUUAGUGCAUCAUGGAUCUACAAAGUGAAACAUAUGUACCAAAAAUAUUAGUUUAUUCAUAACUAAGCCUUUUUCAGCACUGCAGUCAACAGAACAAUGAUAGUGACAAGAAUUGAGACUAUUUAAUACCUCAAACAAUGGGAAAAUACUUCUUGAGAUCAGUUGUAAGUGGUUUUAUAUCAUGCAUGAAACAAUAAACUUAAGUAGUUUUAAAAACUGUUGGAUAAUUCAUACACUGUACCAGACAACUCACACAAUAAAAUUUAUUAAAUAUGAACACAAUCAUUUUUUUCUAAUUUUUUUGCAUUCAAAGCAGUUUGACGGCAAAAGACGCAAAUAAUGCUUUAAUAAAUUUGGUCUUACAAAGCCUAUUAAUGUUUUCUUUUGUGCUGUAACCAUAUAAAAUGCAUGUAUUUUUAAUGGUAAAGGACUAUAGAACUCAAUCAGACUAAAAAAAUGGAAUUAUAUUGUUUUCAAUGAGUGGUUAAAGGUGGCAGGUACCAGUUUUGGUGUACCAGAACAUGUGUCCCACGCAGAAAUUUUGUUAUAGUUAAGUAUUGAGGUAUAUAAUUGCAUCAUGUGGACUGAAAAAAUAAAUGAAUGUAAAUUCUAGGCUAUUGUACUACACAAGUAAGUAGUUGCAUACACAGGUUGGGGAUUUCCUUCACAUAUAGGUCCAAUCAGAUGUCAAAAUUGUGGUCUCCUCACUUGACGGCAUCCAAUCAAAGUGGGGGAAAAAAUUCAGUUUUAUGUAAACAAAAAUAUCUUGAGAUUUUGAUGGUAAGGAUAGGUUCGGACAAGGCUCUAAUUCACUGAAUAUCCUUUCUCUCUUGAAUUUUGGCUAAAAUUCUUGUCGGCUUUUAGCAGGAUUUUGCAGGUGAGGAUUAGAUUGGUAUCAGAGCAUCACAUUUUUUGCCUUAUUUGCAAUGCAUUUAUAAAUUUUUAAAUUUCCAUGCUGGACAGACACCCAAAUUUAAAGGUUUUCUAUAUAUUAACAUAAGCACGCACACAUCUUAGUUCCUUGAAACCAUACAUUUUAUUUGUAUAUAAGCUUGAAUGAAUUUUCAAGAAAAUAAAAUCAUAAAUCCAUGAAAUUCUAAAGAUUUAUUGUAAAAUAACUGGUUUCUGCCACCUUAAGCCUAAACAUGAUUUUAACAUAUCACAAAAUGUGCCUUUUUAAGAGUUCUACAGGUGUGUGGUAAUAUAUUUCUUUUAUUCACAGUCAAUGUAUAGGUCUGUUUGCAAGCAAAUAGUUUUUACAUGGAUUUUAAGAAUUAUCAAAUAUCAAGACAGAUAACUCUGUAUCCCAAUACAAACAAUGACAUUCAAUUGAUUAGUUUUAAAAUGAUUAUGUUCACCAAACAAUGAUUUUAUAUCAUAAAUUAUAUAGAAAUAGCAAUUACAAAGAGAGAAAAAAGUAAAAUAAGCCUCAGCAUAGUACAAGAAAAAGCUGAUUAUACUGUAUAUUACCUGUUAUAAUGAUUUAUUUCAUAUGAUAUGGACAUUUUCUUAUUUAUUUACUUUUUAACUAUGAAUAUAUGAAUUCUUCUUUUUUUAUAGGUCUACUACAUAGUUGAUACUGUAGGACAGGCUAUAGAAAUAAGAAAACUGGUCUCUCUCAUCAGCAAUAGUGUGGCAAUUCUAAAAUUUCAACAUGCGGCCUACACAGCUAGCUCAUGUGGAGAAGAGAUAUGAGACUGAUUGCGAAUAAAUGUACACUUAGUUUAGGGCAUCAUGGAUCUACAAAGUGAAACAUAUGUACCAAAAAUAUUAGUUUAUUCAUAACUAAGCCUUUUUCAGCACUGCAGUCAACAGAACAAUGAUAGU
rnacentral:lncRNA from 1 species